rnacentral:lncRNA from 9 species
AGAGAAACACGUUACUGUAAAGAAUGAAGGUGGCUGAGGAGUAAACCUCAGAGUCUUCAGACAGUGAGCCCUCCUCUCCGGGAGAAAGCGGAUCUGCCCUCUGUCCCGGGAUUGUGUCCCAUGUCCCAGAGCUGCUUGCCGUCUGGGGACCCUGCAGCUCUUCUACUCACAAGAAACGAAGUCACAAAAGAGGCUGCAGGGGAGGCAGAGCCGGCUUCUGGGAGGAUGAGACUGGGUGAGGGCACCUCAGGAUGUGGAAGACGGCAGAGCGAGGAAGAGAGGAGAUUCUUUUCUCGCAUCGAUGAUCACGGAAUAUUGGGUAGCAUUCUCUGUGCUAGACAACAGGUAGGAAAAAUGAUUUCUGCCUUGCGUUUUUUUUUUCUUAUUGUUCAGAAAUCACAUGCUCUUCUCUGCCAUUCUCAUCAUCAGUCUUUUAAAAUACCCCCUAAAAAUCUAUUCGUCAAAUAACCGAGCUCGUGUGGCAUCCCCAGGCAGACCUCUCCCCAGAUAAACUCUCCUGUGGGGGCUAAAGCAGGAGAGGGGCGGUCGGUGCCCUCAGCUGAGCACAGUGAGCAGAACCUGCCUAGAGGGAGAGGGGAAGGGCGGGCCCAGGCCCGGCUUCCAGGAGCUUCCAGGGCCCCCGCGGCACCUAUGUAUGACACACAUGUGACUCGGCAAUCCAGUGGGCGGGCACCCUUCUCUGAAGGAGGUGCCCAGGGCAGGGGAGCGGGUCUGGAGGGAUGGGCACACAGUGAGUCCCAUGGUAGUCACGCUGACGCAGGCGGGCACUGAAUAGAGUGGAGAUGCCCAGGGGGUGGGCGGAUACAUGGUUCUGGGGUGCAAGGAAGAAAUGGCACUGGAGAUGACAACUGAAGCCACCGGAAUGAACUCGUGGGAGGAGAAAAGAAGGCAGCUUGAAAAACAGAUUCUCUCUAUUGGAAUGAAGGACAGAAUAUAUAAAUAUAUACUGAAUACAUAAACGGAAGCGAAGUGAGUUAAAGCGACAGUAAUAAGGGAAGCACCAUAAGGCACCAUAUUGCGAUCGUCUAGGCGUCAAUGGGGCAGCGUUCCAGGCUCCCCUCUCUGCUCUGGGUAUUUUCUGAACAAUUUCUAGCUUGUCAGUGUCCUGCCAACGCUACAGCCCGGAAGUGAAUGUGGGAUGAACAGCGCAGAGGGAAGGAAACCUCCCCCUCUCUCAUUCUGGAUCCCGAUUUUCCCAUCAAUGUGGCUCAGACUUACAGCCAGCUUCCCAGCUCCCACAUCCC